AGAACGAACUUCGUAGGAACCUGAAUUGUCCGAUUUCAAGGACCAAUCGAUAUCGGAUUGAGACCAAAACUUGGGGAACAUCAUAAUAUUGUGGGAGGAGUCAUUUGAUGGGUUUUGAGUGAAAUCCAAUCUCUAGAACUAUACAAUACACCAACCACCCCAUUUCAGAACGAACUUCGUACGAACCUGAAUUGUCCGAUUUCAAGGACCAAUCGAUAUCGGAUUGAGUCCAAAACUUGGGGAACAUCAUAAUAUUGUGGGAGGAGUCUUUUGGUGGGUUUUGAGUGAAAUCCAAUCUCCAGAACUAUACAAUACACCAACCACCCCAUUUCAGAACGAACUUCGUAGGAACCUGAAUUGUCCGAUUUCAAGGACCAAUCGAUAUCGGAUUGAGUCCAAAACUUGGGGAACAUCAUAAUAUUGUGGGAGGAGUCAUUUGGUGAGUUUUUGAGUGAAAUACAAUCCUCAGAACUAUACAAUACACCAACCACUCCAUUUCAGAACGAACUUCGUACGAACCUGAAUUUUCAAAUUUCGUGGACCACUCGAUAUCGGAUUGAGUCCAAAACUUGGGGAACAUCAUAAUAUUGUGGGAGGAGUCAUUUGGUGGGUUUUGAGUGAAACACAAUCCCUAGAACUAUACAAUACACCAACCACUCCAUUUCAGAACGAACUUCGUACGAACCCUGAAUUGUCAAAUUUCGUGGACCGAUCGAUAUCGGAUUGAGUCCAAAACUUGGGGAACAUCAUAAUAUUGUGGGAGUAGUCAUUUGGUGGGUUUUGAGUGAAAUCCAAUCUCCAGACUAUACAAUACACCAACCACUCCAUUUUAGAACGAACUUCGUAGGAACCUGAAUUAUCCAAUUUCAAGGACCAAUCGAUAUCGGAUUGAGUCCAAAACUUGGGGAACAUCCAUAAUAUUGUGGGAGGAGUCAUUUGGCUGGGUUUUGAGUGAAAUCCAAUCUUCUAGAACUAUACAAUACACCAAANNNNNNNNNNNNNNNNNNNNNNNNNNNNNNNNNNNNNNNNNNNNNNNNNNNNNNNNNNNNNNNNNNNNNNNNNNNNNNNNNNNNNNNNNNNNNNNNNNNNNNNNNNNNNNNNNNNNNNNNNNNNNNNNNNNNNNNNNNNNNNNNNNNNNNNNNNNNNNNNNNNNNNNNNNNNNNNNNNNNNNNNNNNNNNNNNNNNNNNNNNNNNNNNNNNNNNNNNNNNNNNNNNNNNNNNNNNNNNNNNNNNNNNNNNNNNNNNNNNNNNNNNNNNNNNNNNNNNNNNNNNNNNNNNNNNNNNNNNNNNNNNNNNNNNNNNNNNNNNNNNNNNNNNNNNNNNNNNNNNNNNNNNNNNNNNNNNNNNNNNNNNNNNNNNNNNNNNNNNNNNNNNNNNNNNNNNNNNNNNNNNNNNNNNNNNNNNNNNNNNNNNNNNNNNNNNNNNNNNNNNNNNNNNNNNNNNNNNNNNNNNNNNNNNNNNNNNNNNNNNNNNNNNNNNNNNNNNNNNNNNNNNNNNNNNNNNNNNNNNNNNNNNNNNNNNNNNNNNNNNNNNNNNNNNNNNNNNNNNNNNNNNNNNNNNNNNNNNNNNNNNNNNNNNNNNNNNNNNNNNNNNNNNNNNNNNNNNNNNNNNNNNNNNNNNNNNNNNNNNNNNNNNNNNNNNNNNNNNNNNNNNNNNNNNNNNNNNNNNNNNNNNNNNNNNNNNNNNNNNNNNNNNNNNNNNNNNNNNNNNNNNNNNNNNNNNNNNNNNNNNNNNNNNNNNNNNNNNNNNNNNNNNNNNNNNNNNNNNNNNNNNNNNNNNNNNNNNNNNNNNNNNNNNNNNNNNNNNNNNNNNNNNNNNNNNNNCAUUUCAGAACGAACUUCGUAGGAACUGAAUGUCCGAAUUUCAAGGACCAAUCGAUAUCGGAUUGAGUACCAAAACUUGGGGCAACAUCAUAAUAUUGUGGGAAGGAGUCAUUUGAUGGGUUUUGAGUGAAAUCCAAUCUCUAGAACUAUACAAUACACCAACCACCCCAUUUCAGAACGAACUUCGUACGAACCUGAAUUGUCCGAUUUCAAGGACCAAUCGAUAUCGGAUUGAGUCCAAAACUUGGGGAACAUCAUAAUAUUGUGGGAGGAGUCUUUUGGUGGGUUUUGAGUGAAAUCCAAUCUCCAGAACUAUACAAUACACCAACCACCCCAUUUCAGAACGAACUUCGUAGGAACCUGAAUUGUCCGAUUUCAAGGACCAAUCGAUAUCGGAUUGAGUCCAAAACUUGGGGAACAUCAUAAUAUUCUGGGAGGAGCAUUUGUGGGUUUUGAGUGAAAUCCAUCUCUAGAACAUACAAUACACCAACCACCCCAUUUCAUAACGAACUUCGUACAAACCUGGAUUGUCCGAUUUCAAGGACAAUCGAUAUCGGAUUGAGUCCAAAACUUGGGGAACAUCAUAAUAUUGUGGGAGGAGUCAUGUGGUUUGUUUUUAGUGAAAUCCAAUCUCUAGAACUAUACAAUACAACAACCACCCCAUUUUAGAACGAACUUCGUAGGAACCUGAAUUGUCCGAUUUCAAGGACUAAUCGAUAUCGGAUUGAGUCCAAAACUUGGGGAACAUCAUAAUAUUGUCGGAGGAGUCAUUUGGUGGGUUUUGAGUGAAAUCCAAUCUCCAGAACUAUACAAUACAGCAACCACCCCAUUUAUGAACGAACUUUGUACGAACCUGAAUUGUCCGAUUUCAAGGACCAAUCGAUAUCGGAUUGAGUCCAAAACUCAGGGAACAUCAUAAUAUUGUGGGAGUUGUCAUUUGGUGCCUUUUGGGUAAAAUCCAAUCUCCAGAACUAUACAAUACACCAACCAACCCAUUUCCAGAACGAACUUCGUACGAACCUGAAUUGUCCGAUUUCAAGGACCAAUCGAUAUCGGAUUGAGUCCAAAACUCGGGGAACAUCAGAAUAUUGUGGGAGUUGUCAUUUGGUGCCUUUUCGGUAAAAUCCAAUCCCUACAGCUAUACAAUGCACCAACCACUCCAUUUCAGAACGACCUUCAGACGAACUUGAAUUGUCCGAUUUCGUUGACCAAUCGAUAUCGGAUUGAGUCAAAAACCUGGGGAACAUCAUAAUAUUGUGGGAGGAGUCAUUUGGUGGGUUUUCAGUGAAAUCCAAUCUCUAGAACUAUACAAUACACCAACCACCCCAUUUCAGAACGAACAUCGUGCGAACAUGAAUUGUCCGAUUUCAAGGACCAAUCGAUAUCGGAUUGAGUCCAAAACUUGGGGAACAUCAUCAUAUUGUGGGAGGAGUCAUUUGGGGGGUUUUGAGUGAAAUCCAAUCCCUAGAACUAUACAAUACACCAACCACCCCAUUUCAGAACGAACUUCGUACGAAACUAAAUUGUCCGAUUCGAAGGACCAAUCGAUAUCGGAUUGAGUCCAAAACUUGGGGAACAUCAUAAUAUUGUGGGAGGAGUCAUUUGGUGGGUUUUUAGUGAAAUCCAAUCUCUACAACUAUACAAUACACCAACCACCCCAUUUCAGAACGAACUUCGUACGAACCGGAAUUGUCGGAUUUCAAGGACCAAACGAUAUCGGAUUGAGUCCAAAACUUGGGGAACAUCAUAAUAUCGUGGGAGGAGUCAUUUGGUGGGUUUUGAGUGAAAUCCAAUCUCUAGAACUAUACAAUACACCAACUACCCCAUUUCAGAACAAACUUCGUACGAACAUGAAUUGUCCGAUUUCAAGGACCAAUCGAUAUCGGAUUGAGUCCAAAACUUGGGGAACAUCGUAAUAUUGUGGGAGGAGUCAUUUGGUGGAUUUUGAGUGAAAUCCAAUCUCUAAAGCUAUACAAUACACCAACCACUCCAUUUCAGAUCGAAAUUCGUACGAACUUGAAUUCUCUGAUUUCACAAUCCAAUCGAUAUCGAAUUGAGUCCAAAACUUGGGGAACCUCAUGAUAUUGUGGGAGUCAUUUGGUGGCUUUUGGGUGAAAUCCAAUCCCUACAACUAUACAAUACACCAACCAUUCCAUUUCAGAACGACCUUCAUACGACGUUGAAUUGUCCGAUUUCAUUGACCAAUCGAUAUCGGAUUGAGUCCAAAACCUCGGGAACAUCAUAAUAUUGUGGGAGUUGUCAUUUGGUGCCUUUUGGGUAAAAUCCAAUCUCCAGAACUAUACAAUACACCAACCAACCCAUUUCCAGAACGAACUUCGUACGAACCUGAAUUGUCCGAUUUCAAGGACCAAUCGAUAUCGGAUUGAGUCCAAAACUCGUGGAACAUCAUAAUAUUGUGGGAGUUUUCAUUUGGUGGCUUUUGGGUAAAAUCUAAUCCCUACAGCUAUACAAUGCACCAACCACUCCAUUGCAGAACGACCUUCAUACGAACUUGAAUUGUCCGAUUUGAUGGACCAAUCGAGAUCUGAUUGAGUACAAAACCUGGGGAACAUCAUAAUAUUGUGGGAGGAGUCAUUUGGUGGGUUUUGAGUGAAAUCCAAUCUCUAGAACUAUUCAAUACACCAACCACUAUAUUUCCGAACGAACUUCGUACGAACCUGAAUUGUCCGAUUUCAAGGACCAAUCGAUAUCGGAUUGAGUCCAAAACUUAGGGAACAUCAUAAUAUUGUGGGAGGAGUCAUUUGGUGGAUUUUGAGUGAAAUCCAAUCCCUACAACUAUACAAUACACCAACCACUCCAUUUUAGAACGAACUUCGUACGAACCUGAAUUGCCAAAUUUCGUGGACCGAUCGAUAUCAGAUUGAGUCCAAAACUUGGGGAACAUCAUAAUAUUGUGGGAAGAGUCAUUUGGUGGGAUUUGAGUGAAAUAUAAUCCCUAGAACUAUGCAAUACACCAACCACCCCAUUUAUGAACGAACUUCGUACGAACCUGAAUUGUCCGAUUUGAAGGACCAAUCGAUAUCGGAUUGAGUCCAAAACUCAGGGAACAUCAUAAUAUUGUGGGAGUUGUCAUUUCGUGGCUUUUAGGUAAAAUCCAAUCUCCAGAACUAUACAAUACACUGACCACCCCAUUUAUGAACGAUCUUCGUACGAACCUGAAUUGUCCGAUUUCAAGGACCAAUCGAUAUCGGAUUGAGUCCAAAACUCGGGGAACAUGAUAAUAUUGUGGGAGUUGUCAUUUGGUGGCUUUUGGGUAAAAUCCAAUUUCCAGAACUAUACAAUACACCAACCAACCCAUUUCCAGAACGAACUUCGUACGAACCUGAAUUGUCCGCUUUCAAGGACCAAUCGAUAUUGGAUUGAGUCCAAAACUCGGGGAACAUCAUAAUAUUGUGGGAGUUGUCAUUUGGUGGCUUUUGGGUAAAAUUCAAUCCCUACAGCUAUACAAUGCACCAACCACUCCAUUUCAGAAUGACCUUCAUACGAACUUGAAUUGUCCGAUUUCAUUGACCAAUUGAUAUCGGAUUGAGUCCAAAACCUGGGGAACAUCAUAAUAUUGUGGGAGGAGUCAUUUGGUGGGUUUUGAGUGAAAUCCAAUCUCUAGAACUGUGCAAUACACCAACCACUCCAUUUCCGAACGAACUUCGUACGAACCUGAAUUGUCCGAUUUCAAGGACCAAUCGAUAUCCGAUUGAGUCCAAAACUCGGGGAACAUCAUAAUAUUGUGGGAGGAGUCAUUUGGUGGGUUUUGAGUGAAAUCCAAUCCCUAGAACUAUACAAUACACCGACCACUCCAUUUCAGAACGAACAUCGUACGAACUUGAAUUGCCCGAUUUCAUUGACCAAUCGAUAUCGGAUUGAGUCCAAAACUUGGGGAAAAACAUAAUAUUGUGGGAGGAGUCAAUUGGUUGGUUUUGAGUGAAAUACAAUCAAUAGAACUAUACAAUACACCAACCACACCAUUUCAGAACGAACUUCGUACGAACCUGAAUUGUCCGAUUUCGAGGACCAAUCGAUAUCGGAUUGAGUCCAAAACUUAGGUGAUAACUCAUAUAUUUAUACAUUUAUACCAUCCAUUUCUAGUAUAUUUGUGAUGUUUUUGAGUUAACUUGUUGCGUUUUAUCCUAUUUUGUGUUAGUAUGCAGUUGCAUAUACUUUAGGAUCAAGUUGAAGGCAAAAGAAAUGAAAACAUGCCAUUUUUGGAGCUGACCCUUAUUCAAACGUGGAAACAAGUUUCGUGACCUGUUUUGAAGUCCAAAUAAAGAAUGCAAGGCGAACCUGGCUUGUUUGAAGACUAAGAGCGGAAUGGGAAAGCAAUGGGGAUUUCUAGCCUAAUUUGGAGGUGCCAAAUAAGGCAAAAACGUGCAAAAUAAAGGCUGAUUCAUUAGGAUAUCUUUGGAACAUCUUGCAGCCUUGUUUACCCCAUAAAAACUUGCCUUUUAGCCACUUCUAAAACCCCUAUUUAUUUUGGACGAAUUUCACAACCCUAGAUCUGACUCCUUGGUUAUUCUCUCCUUUCAUGCACACUAAAACCCUAGCCGUCCAUAUAUUUCCACCAUCAGGACUCAGCGCAAGAGGUGGUUCUUGGAGAAGUUCAACAUCAGAAUUGGUUCAAGGGUUUCCUCUCAUGAAUUUAUUUUCACUCAUGUUGUUUAUUUUUGUUUUAAUCUCUUUGAACAUGAUGUGUAACUAAAUUCAUAGCUAGGGAUUUCGAUGUAGCCUUGCAACAUUGAUCCAUGUUUCUAAGUUAAAGUAUUCAGUUCAUCAAUUUGUUUCUUGUUUCAUUCACUGAAUCUAUUGUUCAAUUUGUUUGUCAAUUUUAAUGUUUGAUCACCAUUAGAGUCGCCUACAGAUUAUCUAGACAAGGUUAUAGUAAACAUCAUGCUUAAUCUUGUUAGACAUGUGAAUGAAUGAAGAGAAUGCUAUGCAAACAUCAUGCUGUGUAUUUUCUUUGGUUCUUUAACAUUUUCUUGCAUGCUAAUGACUCUUAACUUGGAACCAAAGUUGAACAUCCCAACUAGGUUGCAGAUUAGGAGAAUUUGAUCAAAACCACACAUCAUAUGGCUGAUCAUAUAUAUGUAAAACGAACUCUGGAAACAGGAUGGUAGUUGAGUACGGUUUAAUUUUAUAAACAUGGAAUUAGUUUUGCAAUGGUGAAUUCGAAAUCCCUGGUCUCUUCCCUAUUCUUUCUACAUCAAUAUAUUAUUCACUACUACAUUCUUUUUGCAUUGGAAGUUAUUUUUCAUUUACAACACAAAAACUACUUUCAAAUUGUCACUUUCAUUUUUAGUUACGGUUCUUUCAAAACUAGUAAUUUAUAGAGGUCCAAUCGGUCCCUGUGGUUCGACACCCUUACUUGUACCAUUAUACUAACCAUAUAUUGGCACCUGGAAGGAACACAACAUUAGGGAACAUUAUAAUAUUAUGGGAGGAGUCAUUUGGGGGAUUUUGAGUGAAAUCCAAUCUUUAGAACUGUGCAAUAGACCAACCAUUCCAUUUCAGAACACAGUUCGCACGAACCGGAAUUGGCCAAUUUCAUGGACCAACGAAUAUCGGAUUGAGUGCAAAACUUGGGGAACAUCGUAAUAUUGUGGGAGGAGUCAUUUGGUGGGUUUUGAGUGAAAUCCAAAAUCUAGAACUAUACAAUACACCAACCACCCCAUUUCAGAACGAACUUCGUACGAACCUGAAUUGUCCGAUUUCAAGGACCAAUCGUUAUCGGAUUGAGUCCAAAACUUGGGGAACAUCAUAAUAUUGUGGGAGUUGUCAUUUGGUGGGUUUUGAGUGAAAUCCAAUCUCUAGAGCUAUACAAUACACCAACCACUCCAUUUCAGAUCGAAAUUCGUAUGAACUUGAAUUCUCUGAUUUCACGGACCAAUCGAUAUCAAAUUGAGUCCAAAACUUGGGGAACCUCAUGAUAUUGUGGGAGGAGUCAUUUGGUGGCUUUUGGGUGAAAUCCAAUCCCUACAACUAUACAAUACACCAACCAUUCCAUUUCAGAAUGACCUUCAUACGACGUUGAAUUGUCCGAUUACAUUGACCAAUCGAUAUCGGAUUGAGUCCAAAACCUGGGGAAUAUCAUAAUAUUGUGGGAGGAGUCAUUUGGUGGGUUUUGAGUGAAAUCCAAUCUCUAGAACUAUACAAUACACCAACCACUCCAUUUCCGAACGAACUUCGUACGAACCUGAAUUGUCCGAUUUAAAGCACCAAUCGAUAUCGGAUUGAGUCCAAAACUUGGGGGACAACAUAAUAUUGUGGGAGGAGUCAUUUGGUGGGUUUUGAGUGAAAUCCAAUCCCUACAACUAUACAAUACACCAACCACUCCAUUUCGGAACGACCUUCGUACAAACUUGAAUUGUCCGAUUUCAUUGACCAAUCGAUAUCGGAUUGAGUCCAAAACUCGGGGAACAUCAUAAUAUUGUGGGAGUUGUCAUUUGGUGCCUUUUGGGUAAAAUCCAAUCUCCAGAACUAUACAAUACACCAACCAACCCAUUUCCAGAACGAACUUCAUACGAACUUGAAUUGUCCGAUAUCAAGGACCAAUCGAUAUCGGAUUGAGUCCAAAACUUGGGGAACAUCAUAAUAUUGUGGGAGGAGUCAUUUGGUGGGUUUUGAGUGAAAUCCAAUCUCUCGAACUAUACAAUACACCAACUACCGCAUUUCCGAACGAACUUCGUACGAAACUGAAUUGUCCGAUUUCAAGCUCCAAUCGAUAUCGGAUUGAGUCCAAAACUUGGGGAACAUCAUAAUAUUGUGGGAGGAGUCAUCUGGUGGGUUUUGAGUGAAAUCCAAUCCCUAGAACUAUACAAUACACCAACCACUCCAUUUUAGAACGAACUUCGUACGAACCUGAAUUGUCCGAUUACAAGGGCCAAUCGAUAUCGGAUUGAGGCCAAAACUUCGGAAACAACAUAAUAUUGUGGGAGGAGUCAUUUGGUGGAUUUUGAGUGAAAUCCAAUCUCUAGAACUAUACAAUACACCAACCACCCCAUGUCACAUGCCGGGAUCAACUCCACCGUAGCACGAUAUUUUCCGCUUUGGGCCCCCCCUCUGCCCGUACGAUUUUGUUUCUGGGAGCUCACGAGUAACUUCCCAGUGGGUCACCCAUCCUGGGAUUGCUCUGGCACUCAACUCGCUUAACUUCGGAGUUCCUACGACUCCGAAGCCAGUGAGCUCCCAAAAGGCCUCGUGCUAGAUGGAUGUGGGUGUGCACAUAUAAGGCACAUCACCCCCUCUCCGUUUGGUUGAUGUGGGAUCUUACAAUCCACCCCCCUUAAGGGCCCGACGUCCUCGUCGGCACACUCGCAGCACACGGCAGAGUGGCUCUGAUACCAAAUUGUCACACCCGGGAUCGGCUCCCCCGUAGCACAAUAUUGUCCGCUUUGGGCCCCCCUCACUGCCCUCACGGUUUUGUUUCUGGGAACUCUUGAGUAACUUCCCAGUGGGUCACCCAUCUUGGGAUUGCUCUAGCCCCCAACUCGCUUAACUUCGGAGUUCCUACGACUCCGAAGCCAGUGAGCUCCCAAAAAGCCUCGUGCUAGAUGGAUGCGAGUGUGCACAUAUAAGGCACAUCACCCCCUCUCCGUUGGUUGAUGUGGGAUCUUACAAUCCACCCCCCUUAAGGGCCCGACGUCCUCGUCGGCACACUCUCACCACACGGCAGAGUGGCUCUGAUACCAAAUUGUCACACCCCUGGAUCGGCUCCGCCGUAGCACGAUAUUGUCCGCUUUGGGCCCCCCUCACUGCCCUCACGGUUUUGUUUCUGGGAACUCACGAGCAACUUCCCAGUGGGUCACCCAUCCUGGGAUUGGUCUAGCCCCCAACUCGCUUAACUUCGGAGUUCCUACGACUCCGAAGCCAAUGAGCUCCCAAAAGGCCUCGUGCUAGAUGGAUGCACAUAUAAGGCACAUCACCCCUUCUCCGUUGGUUGAUGUGAGAUCUUCCAAUCCACCCCCUUAAGGACCCGACAUCCUCGUCGGCACACUCGCACCACACGGCAGAGUGGCUCUGAUACCAAAUUGUCACAUCCAGGGAUCGGCUCCGCCGUAGCACGAUAUUGUCCGCUUUGGGCCCCCCUCUCUGCCCUUACGGUUUUGUUUCUAGGAACUCACGAGCAACUUCCCAGUGGGUCACUCAUCCUGGGAUUGCUCUAGCCCCUAACUCGCUUAACUUCGGAGUUCCUACGACUCCGAAGCCGGUGAGCUCCCAAAAGGCCUCGUGCUAGAUGGAUGCGGGUGUGCACAUAUAAGGCACAUCACCCCCUCUCCGUUGGUUGAUGUGGGAUCUUACACCCCAUUUAUGAACGAACUUCGUACGAACCUGAAUUUUCCGAUUUCAAGGACCAAUCGAUAUUGGAUUGAGUCCAAAACUUGGGUAACAUCAUAAUAUUAUGGGAGGAGUCAUUUGGUGGGCUUUGAGUGAAAUCCAAUCCCUAGAACUUACAAUACACCAACCACUCCAUUUCAUGACGAACUUCGUAUGAACAUGGAUUGUCCGAUUUCAUGGACCAGUCGAUAUCGGAUUGAGUCCAAAACUUGGGAAACGUUGUAAUAUUGAGGGAGGAGUGAUUUGUUGCAUUUUGAGUGAAAUCCAAUCCCCAGAACUAUACAAUACACCAACCACUCCAUUUAAGAACGAACUUCGUACGAACCUGAAUUGUCAGAUUUCGAGGACCAAUCGAUAUCGUAUUGAGUCCAAAACUUGGGGAACAUGAUAGUAUUGUGGGAGGAGUCAUUUGGUGGGUUUUGAGUGAAAUCCAAUCCCUAGAACUAUACAAUACAUUAGCCAUUCCAUUUCAAAACGAACUUCGUACAAACCUGAAUUGUCAAAUUUCGUGGACCAAUCGAUAUCGGAUUGAGUCCAAAACUUGGGGAACAUCAUAAUAUUGUGGGAGGAGUCAUUUGGUGGCUUUUGAGUGAAAUCCAAUCUCUAGAACUAUACAAUACACCAACUACCCCAUUUCAGAACGAACUUCGUUGGAACCUGAAUAGUCCGAUUUCAAGGACCAGUCGAUAUCGGAUUGAGUCCAAAACUUGGGGAACAUCAUAAUAUUGUGGGAGGAGUCAUUUGGUGGCUUUUGAGUGAAAUCCAAUCUUUAGAACUAUACAAUACACCAACCACCCCAUUUCAGAACGAACUUCGUACGAACCUGAAUUGUCCAAUUUCAAGGACCAACAGAUAUCGGAUUGAGUCCGAAACUUGGGGAACAUCAUAAUAUUGGGGAGUUGUCAUUUGGUGGGUUUUGAGUGAAAUCCAAUCCCUAGAACUAUACAAUACACCAAAAACUUCAUUUCAGAAAAAACUUGUUGAGCCUAUUGUUAACAACUAAAAUGAGUUAUUAAAAACAGCAACUUUAAUUCUCGCAAGUGCACGAACCGUUUAUAGUAUAGCUUAUGUAAAUACGAGGUCGAUCCCACGGAGAAUGGUAACUUGGUUCCAAGUUAAAUUACUUAGAAUGUUAGAAAAAUAUAGAACAAAGAAACUGACUAACUAGCUAAAGGCAUGGUCGAAUUCAACAAUGCCUCUUGCUAAUUACUCAAGGUCUAGGACAGAAUCCUAGCACCACACACGCACUCGAAAUGGGGGGUUUUUUUGUUGAAAUGAAAACAAGAAAGUGAAAUGAAAGUGCUCGAAAGUGAACACUGGCAGCAAUCAACAAGUUGUGAAACAAUGAUUGAGAGGUGUUAGAGCCUUGGAAUCCACCACUAGUUUUCCUAUCCAAGUUAUGAAUGCAUAGAAAUUGACUCAAGCUUCAUUAGCAAUAGAUUAUCGCAUACAAGCCUAUGGUAUCUAGGUGCAGGAUGCAUGAUUCUCCUAAGGCAUGUGAUUAUGCAUGGUAUCUACACAACACGUGAUCUCUAAUAUGCAACCUAAGCAUGGUAUCUACUUAGAAUAAAGCAUACAAGAGUCAUUAAGCUCCUUGAGAAUAUGAUAAUCACACAAGUCCUAGAACAUGGUAUCUGUCCUAGUCAACCUAUGGUUAUUAACCCCUUGAAUGAUUCUUAGGCCAUUCAUGUGUUGCUUGUGAAAGGAGAGUAGAAUUGGUGAAUCUAAACCCCUUCCCAACCUGUGCUAGAUGCAUAAAAUCCUAGUUAGCUACUCCAAGAGAACAUACAUCAAGCACAUAAUAAACUAGAGAUUAACAACUUAAUAAUAAAAGCAAGGAAAUCAAUUAACUAUAAAAUCAUCCAUAACAUUGAAUAUUCAUGACUAGGGCUUCACCCUAAGCCCUAACUAAAUGGAUUAGUUAGACAUAACUAUGAAUACAGAAAAUAAGAAAUACAUAGAUAGGAUAAAGAGACGAGAAGAACUAGAUGAUGGGAGCAAGGAAGUUCCCAGGACAGCUCCAAGCUCCCUUCUCUCUUUGUGGUGAAUCUGAAUGUGUAUAUGAAAGUAAUGGAUGAAAUGAAUGUGUGUGUCUGCCCUCUCUCCCCUUGAAAGAGUGUGCAACUCUCUAUUUAUAGAGUGCAAUUUCGUGCUCCCCUUUGGCUGGUGAAGCACACCUCUCUUAGCUGCUGCCAACUGCUCUAGCUGCCCAUACAUGCCUGUUGCUCCAGCUGCCCAUACUUGCCUGUUGCUCCAGCUGCCCAUACUUGCCUGUUGGACUUUUCUUGGUUUUUGAGUUCCCAUACUGAUUUGUCUCCCAUGUGUGGCUGCUCUAAUGUGUAGCACAUGGCUCUAGGGAUGUAGCCACAUUAAAUAUGAUGGCAGCCAACAUGACAUUUCUGCGAACUUGGUUCAGUCUUUGACGUGUUGAGGGCUCCAGUUGUAUCCAAUUGGGCUGAACUUUGGAUAUGUUAUAAUAGACGCCCAUUGGAACAACGUCUAUGAAGGAUGUCUCCUCAUCUGACCUGUGUAAGUUACUGAAAUGAGGCCUGCAAGAUGACCUACGAAACUGGACUGACAAGGAGUGUGGCACAAAUUGGUUUUGUCUUUAAGCUCAUAUUCCACUUGUGCCACUCAGCCCUUAACAUGCAUGAAUUGUAUCAAAUGUCAUCCCCUUGCUAUAUUAACCUACAAAGCACACAAACAUAGGUAAGAGACUCAAAAUAAAGAGAAGCUAACAAAAUUACUAAGGAAAGAAGGCAUGCAAAUGUGUGAAAUUAUGAACUUAUCAAAUACCCCAAAACUUAGAUUUUGCUAGUCCUCGAGCAAAACAAAAUAAAACUACAACUUAGGAAACAGGAAAUAAGCAACUAGCCUUCCAAACAAUAUCCUCAAAGAAUCAUCAGUGUAAAUGGUUCCAAAGAAACACAACAAUCACAAUCUAAGUUCCACACAUGAUUCACGAGAAAGCAAAGCUAGCAUUGACACCCUUAAGUGUAGUGUGUGAAUGCCAAAUCCGAACAACACCUGCAUCUCAAAUAAGUACAUGUGCACACACUUAGAGCAAAAUCAAGAAUUCCGAACCCCAUAAGCUCAUUAUCCAAUCUGCUCUCCACAGUAAUACCAUGCAACACCAAGGAUCAAAAGGACUUUACAAGGGUAGUAAUGAGGUUUAGGGUAGUGGUUGAAUGAAAGAAGGGAUAUGAGAUAUACAAUAUUUUGAGCACACUUAAAGCACAGGUAAGAGCAUAAGAGAGUACUGAACUUUGUAACAAGCAAGGAACACAUACAUGAGCAGAUUUUCAACAUAAUUUCAGCACCUUGAAAUGUGUUUAUUUGGCCUAAUUUUGUGGCUCUUUACCCUAGAUCACAAUGAUGUUCUCCUUAUAACACCCUAGGGCCGUGACUACAUUGGUCACACUUCAUUACCUCUUUUGAUUAGUUACCAAUACCCCCAAACUUAUUUCUUUUCAACACUUGGGUUACGGCACCAAUUAUUCACUUUUGCUCUAUAAACCUUGCAUUCUUUAUAACUCUCUUUUGAAGAUAACUUUAAUUGCUCAUACAAUAAGUAAGGAUAAGAAAACAGAGGCUCAUUAUGGUAGGAUUCAUUUACACAAAGAAAGGCUUAACGUAGGCUCAAAUGGGAUGACUAGGGAUGAAUACAUGUAGAGGGAUGGUUAGAAAGGCUCAAACGGUUCAAACAUGGCCUAAAUCACUUCCUAAGCAUUGUAUGGCAACAAAAUGUCUCAAGAAAUAUUCAAAUAAGUUCUAGAGUACGAAACCAAGAUCAUGAGAUAACUAGAAUUGCAUAACGUCUCUAAGUAGCAAGAUGUUGGACUAACUUGGCAAAGUGCUCAAUAAGUGCAAGGAUGGCAUGCAGGACAAAGUUAACUUAGAAUCACACGCAGACCUUAAACAAUGACUAUCAAUUUCUGAAAAACCAUAAUAGUAUUAAAUCUAAGUCUUUAUCAUAGGUGUUUGGAAGGAUAACGAAACAACACACAAAAUCCUGCGUUUUUAGACAGUAGACACACUCAAAAAUUUUAAAAUUUGACAAUUUGAAACAGCAUAACUAAAUCCUUCCCCCCAAACUUAAAUGAAACAUUGUCCUCAAUGUUUAGAGUGUAAGAAAAAGCAAUGCCUCAUUAAUGAAAGGAAAGAAGACAAGGGAAAGACAUAACCAAAGGUUAGAUUUCAGAAAAACUCCCCUUUGAAGCGAUUAGGAUGCAAGCAAGCUUCCUCGCAUAUUCUAUCUUCUCCUCAUCACCUUGGGUUGCCUCCCAAGAAGCGCUAAGUUUCACGUCGUCAGCCGGACGUCCAAACUCUGGUGAGCUUUAAGAGAGUGGUGGAGGCUCCUUGAGUGCUUGAGACUCAAUAUUGGCAUCAAAGUUGGCAUCGAAGUAAGGUUUCAACCGAUGUCCAUUCACCUUGAAGGUGCUGCCAUCCUUAAUGUUUUGAAUCUCCACUGCGCCAUGAUUAAACACAUUAGUAAUAACAAAAGGGCCAAUCCACCGAGAACAAAGCUUACCUGGGAAGAGCUUAAGGCGUGAAUUGAAUAAGAGAACCUUCUGCCCUUUCUCAAACGUCUUCCUAAGAAUUUUCUUGUCGUGAUAUUGCUUUGUUUUCUCCUUGUAAAGCUUCGCAUUCUUAUACGCUUCAUGUCUCAACUCCUCCAGCUCAUUGAGUUGAAGCCUCCUCUUCUCACCAGCGGCUUUCAUAUCAAAAUUGAAGGCCUUGAUUGCCCAAUAAGCCCUGUGCUCAAGCUCCACUGGUAAGUGACAAGGUUUACCGAAAAUAAGUCUAUACGGAGACAUACCUAUAGGGGUCUUAUAAGCAGUCCUAUAAGCCCACAAUGCAUCAUCCAAACGCAUGGACCAAUCCUUCCUUGUGGUGUUCACUGUCUUUUCAAGUAUGUACUUAAUCUCCCUAUUGCUUAUAUCAACCUGCCCACUAGUUUGAGGAUGAUAGGGUGUUGCCACCUUAUGCGUGAUUCCAUAUCUCUUCAAGAGUGCUGCAAAAGCUUGGUUAACAAAGUGGGAGCCACCAUCACUAAUGAUUGCUCUAGGUGUGCCAAACCUUGUAAAAAUAUUUCCUUUGAGAAAACCGAUCACAACUUUAGCAUCAUUAGUUCUAGUGGCAAUGGCUUCCACCCAUUUAGAAACAUAAUCGACAGAAACUAAUAUAUAUUCAAAUCCAUAAGAGGUAGGAAAAGGGCCCAUGAAAUCAAUUCCCCAAACAUCAAAUAUAUCAAUGAUUAAGAUAUUGGUGAGAGGCAUCUGGUUUCUAGCAUGUAAAUUACCCAUCCGUUGGCAUCUAUCACAUGAAGCACAAAAAACAUAAGCAUCCUUAAAAAGGGUAGGCCAAAAGAAACCUGAUUGUAGCACCUUGCUGGCAGUCUUCUUUGCUCCAAAAUGGCCUCCGCAUGCGUGGGAGUGACAAAACUCCAGAAUGCUCUUAAAAUCACCUUCAGGCACACACCUUCGAAUUACUUGGUCUGGACAAUGCUUGAAUAGAUAGGGAUCAUCCCAAAAGUAGUAUCUUGCUUGCUUCCUAAGCUUGUCACGUUGGAACGUAGAUAACCCUGUAGGGAGUUCGUUAGUGCACAAAUAGUUAACAAUAUCAGCAAACCAAGGCAAUGGAUUGAGAGAAUUCAAAGCACAAAUGGAGAAGAGUUGCUCAUCAGGGAAGCUUUCACGCAAUGGCAAUGAAUCCUCCUCUUCGUUAGAUACAUGCACCAAUCUACUCAAGUGAUCAGCCACGACAUUCUCACUUCCUUUCUUAUCUUUUAUCUCCAAGUCAAACUCUUGCAACAAGAGAAUCCAUCUAAUGAGUCGCGGUUUGGCAUCCUUCUUAGCUAACAAGUAUUUCAAUGCUGCAUGAUCAGUGUAAACAAUAACCUUGUUAGUAAUCAAAUAUGAUCUAAACUUCUCUAAAGCAAAUAUGACGGCUAACAACUCCUUCUCUGUGGUGGAAUAGUUGAGUUGGGCAUCGUUGAGGGUUCUACUAGCAUAGUAGAUGGCAUGUGGCUUCUUAUCAACUCGCUGUCCCAAAACAGCUCCAACAACAUAAUCUGAGGCAUCACACAUCAAUUCAAAGGGCAAGCUCCAAUCCGGUGGUAUAAUGACUGGGGCAGUUGUGAGCAUCUUCUUCAAAGCAUUGAAAGCAUUCUCACAGUCUUGAUCAAACACAAAAUCCAUGUCCUUGGCAAGGAGAUUGCACAUAGGCCUUGCAAUCUUAGAAAAAUCCUUAAUGAAACGCCUAUAGAAACCUGCAUGGCCAAGGAAAGAACGUACUUCUUUGACAGAAGUAGGUGAGGGCAUAGAGGCAAUCAAAUCAAUCUUAGCUUUAUCUACCUCAAUUCCUUUACUAGAGAUGACAUGACCAAGAACUAUGCCUUGGUUAACAAUAAAAUGACAUUUUUCCCAAUUAAGCACAAGGUUAGUAUGUUCACAUCUAGCCAACACCUUGGAUAAGUUAUGCAAGCAUUGAUCAAAAGAAUCACCAAAGACAGAGAAGUCAUCCAUGAAUACCUCAAUGAACCUUUCUACCAUGUCGGAGAAAAUGCUCAUCAUGCACCUUUGAAAAGUGGCUGGGGCGUUACAGAGACCAAAAGGCAUCCUCCUAUAGGCGAAAGUGCCAAAGGGACAUGUGAACGUGGUCGAUCCGCAGGCCGUGCAGCUAUGGCGAUUUGGUUGUAGCCUGAAUAUCCAUCAAGGAAGCAAUAGUGGCUAUGCCCAGCUAAUCUCUCAAGCAUUUGAUCAAUGAAUGGAAGAGGAAAGUGAUCUUUGCUUGUUGCUGUGUUGAGCUUCCUAUAAUCAAUGCAAACUCUCCAGCCCGUGGUCAUCCGUGUAGGUACAAGCUCGUUUGCUUCAUUCUUCACCACUGUGAUACCUGACUUCUUGGGGACAACUUGCACUGGGCUCACCCAUUGACUGUCAGAAAUAGGGUAAAUAAUACCAACAUUUAAAAGCUUCAUUACCUCUUUUCUUACCACCUCCUUCAUGUUUGGAUUGAGACGUCUUUGGGCAUCCCUCUUAGGCAUUGCAUUGUCUUCCAAUAAUAUCUUGUGCAUGCACAGUGUUGGGCUUAUGCCUUUGAUAUUUGCAAUGCUCCACCCAAUCGCAGUUUUGUGCUCUUUUAGAACUCUCAAAAGCUUCUUUUCAUCAUUUGGUCCGAGAUGUGAGGCAAUGAUAACAGGUAGAGUCUCAUUUUCACCUAAAUAAGCAUAUUUAAGGUGUUUUGGCAAUUGCUUUAAUUCCAACUCUGGUGCCUGCACAAUAGAAGGUAAAACCUUAUUAGUAGGUGGGGGUAAUGAUUCAAAUUGGUUUGCAUACCUCUUUCCAAUUUCUAUGUAGCUAUCCAUGCUGCAAACAAGCUCAAGAAGUAAAAAGAUCACAGCCUCAAAGCUGUCCACUUCUUCUUUCCUUAUGCUUUGUGUGAUGCAUGCUUCAAUGGGCUCCAAAUAACUCAUUGGCAGUGCUUCUUUCACCAUAGUAUCAAUUGCAUCAAGAUGGAAAACUUCAUGCUCAUCACUUGGAAACUUGGAGGCUUCAAACACUUUGAAUGCUAUUGUCUCAUCAAACACAUUCAUGGUCAAUGUACCCUUCUUCACAUCAAUAAUAGCACCGGCAGUUGCCAUGAAUGGCCGACCUAGAAUGAGUGGUAACUGAUUGUCAUGAAUUGGUGCUUCUUCCAUCUCCAACACCAAGAAAUCUGCUGGCAAAAUUAGCUCUUCCACUUUCACCAAAACAUCUUCUAGAAUGCCCUUAGGGUACCUAAUAGUUCUAUCUGCCAAUUGAAUGCUCACAGAUGUGGCUUGCAACUCACCAAGGUUAAGUUUCUCAUAAACAUGAUAUGGCAUAAGAUUUAUAGAAGCACCAAGAUCAAGCAAAGCUUUUUGAAACUUAAAAUCACCAACUAUGCAAGGUAUAGAAAACGAACCUGGAUCCUUUAGCUUUGGAGGCAGGUUUCUUUGUAACACUGCACUUACCUCUUCACUCAAUGCAACUUGUUCAUGCUCUUUGAAUCUCCUCUUGUUAGUGCAUAGAUCCUUCAAAAAAUUUGCAUACUUUGGAAUCUGAGUAAUGGCAUUGAGCAAUGGGAUGUUGAUUUGCACCUUCUUGAAUGUUUCCAUUAUCUCAUCCAAGCCUUGAUCUUUCUUUGACUUUGAUAACCUGCUGGGAAAGGGUGCAAUAGGCCUAAAAGCAUUAGUUGAAAUUGGAACUUGAUUAGCAUUAGAUGAUACCUUAGGGCCUGUGCUCUUUCCAGGAGCAUUGAUGGACUGAUUGUUGGAAGCUGUGGGCUGCCCAUGUGGUGGCUGAAUGAUCUCCACGUUUUCUCCAUCUUCUUGUUCUUCAUUGGCAUCUCCAACCUUAUUAUCAACUUGUUUACCACUUCUCAAGAUGUGUACUGCUUUAGCAUGCUCUUGAUGCCUUGGAUUCACCUCCGUUUGGCUUGGGAAAGUUCCGGAUGCUCUAUUGCUCAUGGAGGAUGCAAUCUGCCCAACUUGCACUUCUAGUUUGUUCACUGCAUUUUGAAGAUUCUGAUUGGUUUGCAUCUGUUGCCCCAUGAACUUCUUGAACAUGUCUUGCAAUUCUCCCAUUUGAUCACCCCUUUGCUCUUGCACUUGUUGCGGAGCUUGUUGGAAUUGCCUUUGUUGUGUUUGGAAUCCUGGGGGAGGUCCUUGAGAUUGUUGCACAUUUGAAUUGUUGCUCCACCUGAAAUUAGGAUGAUUUCUCCACCCCGGAUUGUAUGUGUUUGAGUAAGGAUCAUUAUUAGGAUUCCUUGCUUGAAGGGAAUUUGCUUGUUCUAGCAUGUGCUCCGCAAAAGAUUGGUCUACAAACUUCCACUUUGUUUCCUAGAGGGCCAGUCACUGCCUGUUGAAGCAAAGAACACAUAACAUCAAGUUUUGCAGCAAUUUCAUUAUUAGUACUUACCUCAGAGACCACAGCUUUCAUAGGAGCUCCUCUUCCUUUAUUGUGGCUCCAUUGUUGAGAGUUAGCACUCAAGGAUUCAAAGAGAGUAAAAGCCUCAUCUGCUGUUUUGUUCAUCAGUCCUUCUCCACUUGUUGAAUCUACCAUCAUCCUUUCGGAAUCAAGUAAACCUUCAUAGAAAGAUUGCAUUUGCAUCCAACUCUCUAUGUUGUGGUGUGGGCAAGAACUUAUCAUCUCCUUGUACCUCUCCCAACAUUCAUGAAAAGCUUCUCCUUCCUUUUGUGUGAAACCAAGAAUUUCCUUUCUAAUCUUGUUAGUCUUUUGAGCCGGAAAAAAUUUCUGCAAAAACUUAUUAGAAAGCUCUUCCCAAGUAUGAAUUGAAGCAUUAGGAAAAGAGUAUAACCAAGACUUAGCUUUAUCUUUUAAACUGAAUGGGAAUAGCCUCAUCUUAAUCUGCUCAUCAUCAAGGUUUUGAAUUUUGAUCGUAGCACAUAUUUCAAAGAAUUGCUUAAUAUGCAUGUAAGGAUCCUCAGUGGUAUUACCAUAAUAAGUUGGAAGAAGAUGAAUCAUACCACUUUUAAGCUCAAACCUGUCAACUGUGAGUUGAGGAUAGACGAUGCAUAAAGGUUGAUCGGUGACUUUGGGAAUGGAAAACUCACGCAGGGAUUUUCUUGGUUGGACAACAAGCACACCACCUCCUUCAUCAUUGUUGUUGUUCGAAAUCUCUACCAUGUUGCUUGAACCUUCAGAUUCGUAACUUUUAGAUUCAACGCUUGAAGAACUAUAGUUCUUCCUCAAACCAGCAUGCACAGCAGCGGUUCUUGGUGAAAGUGGCUCAGGUGAACUUUGCUCCUGGUCAGAUUCGGACAUGCACACACCAAGGAAGUCAAUUCAGUGCCUUCAAUGGAGAUAACAACAAAAUACAAAACUGAAUACUAAAAGAAAAACCAACGAAAAGAAACAAAUGAAAUAAACAAAAACAAAACAAUCAAAGUAAUCUAACUAUAGCACCAUCAUUACCGGUUCCCCGGCAACGGCGCCAAAAACUUGUUGAGCCUAUUGUUAACAACUAAAAUGAGUUAUUAAAAACAGCAACUUUAAUUCUCGCAAGUGCACGAACCGUUUAUAGUAUAGCUUAUGUAAAUACGAGGUCGAUCCCACGGAGAGUGGUAACUUGGUUCCAAGUUAAAUUACUUAGAAUGUUAGAAAAAUAUAGAACAAAGAAACUGACUAACUAGCUAAAGGCAUGGUCGAAUUCAACAAUGCCUCUUGCUAAUUACUCAAGGUCUAGGACAGAAUCCUAGCACCACACACGCACUCGAAAUGGGGGGUUUUGUUGUUGAAAUGAAAACAAGGAAGUGAAAUGAAAGUGCUCGAAAGUGAACACUGGUAGCAAUCAACAAGUUGUGAAACAAUGAUUGAGAGGUGUUAGAGCCUUGGAAUCCACCACUAGUUUUCCUAUCCAAGUUAUGAAUGCAUAGAAAUUGACUCAAGCUUCAUUAGCAAUAGAUUAUCGCAUACAAGCCUAUGGUAUCUAGGUGCAGGAUGCAUGAUUCUCCUAAGGCAUGUGAUUAUGCAUGGUAUCUACACAACACGUGAUCUCUAAUAUGCAACCUAAGCAUGGUAUCUACUUAGAAUAAAGCAUACAAGAGUCAUUAAGCUCCUUGAGAAUAUGAUAAUCACACAAGUCCUAGAACAUGGUAUCUGUCCUAGUCAACCUAUGGUUAUUAACCCCUUGAAUGAUUCUUAGGCCAUUCAUGUGUUGCUUGUGAAAGGAGAGUAGAAUAGGUGAAUCUAAACCCCUUCCCAACCUAUGCUAGAUGCAUAAAAUCCUAGUUAGCUACUCCAAGAGAACAUACAUCAAGCACAUAAUAAACUAGAGAUUAACAACUUGAUAAUAAAAGCAAGGAAAUCAAUUAACUAUAAAAUCAUCCAUAACAUUGAAUAUUCAUGACUAGGGCUUCAUCCUAAGCCCUAACUAAAUGGAUUAGUUAGACAUAACUAUGAAUACAGAAAAUAAGAAAUACAUAGAUAGGAUAAAGAGACGAGAAGAACUAGAUGAUGGGAGCAAGGAAGUUCCCAGGACAGCUCCAAGCUCCCUUCUCUCUUUGUGGUGAAUCUGAAUGUGUGUAUGAAAGUAAUGGAUGAAAUGAAUGUGUGUGUCUGCCCUCUCUCCCCUUGAAUGAGUGUGCAACUCUCUAUUUAUAGAGUGCAAUUUCGUGCUCCCCUUUGGCUGGUGAAGCACACCUCUCUUAGCUGCUGCCAACUGCUCUAGCUGCCCAUACAUGCCUGUUGCUCCAGCUGCCCAUACUUGCCUGUUGGACUUUUCUUGGUUUUUGAGUUCCCAUACUGAUUUGUCUCCCAUGUGUGGCUGCUCUAAUGUGUAGCACAUGGCUCUAGGGAUGUAGCCACAUUAAAUAUGAUGGCAGCCAACACGAUAUUUCUGUGAACUUGGUUCAGUCUUUGACGUGUUGAGGGCUCCAGUUUUAUCCAAUUGGGCUGAAAUUUGGAUAUGUUAUAAUAGACACCCAUUGGAACAACGUCUAUGAAGGAUGUCUCCUCAUCCGACCUGUGUAAGUUACUGAAAUGAGGCCUGCAAGAUGACCUACGAAACUGGACUGACAAGGAGUGUGGCACAAAUUGGUUUUGUCUUUAAGCUCAUAUUCCUCUUGUGCCACUCAGCCCUUAACAUGCAUGAAUUGUAUCAAAUGUCAUCCCCUUGCUAUCUUAACCUACAAAGCACACAAACAUAGGUAAGAGACUCAAAAUAAAGAGAAGCUAACAAAAUUACUAAGGAAAGAAGGCAUGCAAAUGUGUGAAAUUAUGAACUUAUCAAAUACCCCCAAACUUAGAUUUUGCUAGUCCUCGAGCAAAACAAAAUAAAACUACAACUUAGGAAACAGGAAAUAAGCAACUAGCCUUCCAAACAAUAUCCUCAAAGAAUCAUCAGUGUAAAUGGUUCGAAAGAAACACAACAAUCACAAUCUAAGUUCCACACAUGAUUCACGAGAAAGCAAAGCUAGCAUUGACACCCUUAAGUGUAGUGUGUGAAUGCCAAAUCCGAACAACACCUGCAUCUCAAAUAAGUACAUGUGCACACACUUAGAGCAAAAUCAAGAAUGCCGAACCCCAUAAGCUCAUUAUUCAAUCUGCUCUCCAUAGUAAUACCAUGCAACACCAAGGAUCAAAAGGAGUUUACAAGGGUAGUAAUGAGGUUUAGGGUAGUGGUUGAAUGAAAGAAGGGAUAUGAGAUAUACAAUAUUUUGAGCACACUUAAAGCACAGGUAAGAGCAUAAGAGAGUACUGAACUUUGUAACAAGCAAGGAACACAUACAUGAGCAGAUUUUCAACAUAAUUUCAGCACCUUGAAAUGUGUUUAUUUGGCCUAAUUUUGUGGCUCUUACCCUAGAUCACAUUGAAAUGUGNNNNNNNNNNNNNNNNNNNNNNNNNNNNNNNNNNNNNNNNNNNNNNNNNNNNNNNNNNNNNNNNNNNNNNNNNNNNNNNNNNNNNNNNNNNNNNNNNNNNNNNNNNNNNNCUCCUCGCUCAUUGCGACAGUAGUGUAUUUCAACACUUGGGUUACGGCACCAAUUAUUCACUUUUGCUCAAUAAACCUUGCAUUCUUUAUAACUCUCUUUUGAAGAUAACUUUAAUUGCUCAUACAAUAAGUAAGGAUAAGAAAACAGAGGCUCAUUAUGGUAGGAUUCGUUUACACAAAGAAAGGCUUAACAUAGGCUCAAAUGGGAUGACUAGGGAUGAAUACAUGUAGAGGGAUGGUUAGAAAGGCUCAAACGGUUCAAACAUGGCCUAAAUCACUUCCUAAGCAUUGUAUGGCAACAAAAUGUCUCAAGAAAUAUUCAAAUAAGUUCUAGAGUACGAAACCAAGAUCAUGAGAUAAGUCCGAUUUCAAGGACCAAUCGAUAUCAGAACGAACUUCGUUGGAACCUGAAUAGUCCGAUUUCAAGGACCAAUCGAUAUCGGAUUGAGUCCAAAACUUGGGGAACAUCAUAAUAUUGUGGGAGGAGUCAUUUGGUGGCUUUUGAGUGAAAUCCAAACUUUAGAACUAUACAAUACACCAACCACCCCAUUUCAGAACGAACUUCGUACGAACCUGAAUUGUCCGAUUUCAAGGACCAAUCGAUAUCGGAUUGAGUCCAAAACUUGGGGAACAUCAUAAUAUUGUGGGAGUUGUCAUUUGGUGGGUUUUGAGUGAAAUCCAAUCCCUAGAACUAUACAAUACACCAAAAACUUCAUUUCAGAACGAACUUCGUACGAACUUGAAUUGUCUGAUUUCAUGGACCAUUCGAUAUCAGAUUGAGUCCAAAACUUGGGGGACAUCAUAGUAUUGUGGGAGGAGUCAUUUGGUGGCUUUUGGGUGAAAUCCAAUCCAGACAACUAUAAAAUACACCGACCACUCCAUUUCAGAACGACCUUCAUACGAACUUGAACUGUCAGAUUUCAUUGACUAAUCGAUAUCGGAUUGAGUCCAAAACUUGGGGAACACCAUAAUAUUAUGGGAGGAGUCAUUUGGUGGGUUUUGAGUGAAAUCCAAUCUCUAGAACUAUACAAUACACCGACCACCCCAUUUCAGAACAAACUUCGUACGAACCUGAAUUGUCCGAUUUCAAGGACCAAUCGAUAUCGGAUUGAGUCCAAAACUUGGGGAACAUCAUAAUAUUGUGGGAGGAGUCAUUUGGUGGGUUUUGAGUGAAAUCCAAUCCCUAGAACUAUACAAUACACCAACCACCCCAUUUCAAAACGAACUUCGUACGAAACUGAAUUGUCUGAUUUCA
rnacentral:lncRNA from 1 species